rnacentral:lncRNA from 1 species
ACUACCGUAACCCACAAGGGGAUUAGAAUGGAUAGUCUCUCUCUCUCCCUCUCCCUCCUCUGAGUCACAGUGCUAGCAAAUACAGCCACAGUGCAGUGUGGGCAGACAGGAAACCACUAAAGCCAGAGCAGUGAUUAUGUGCAUGCUCUGAGAGACGCAUUGAGCAGUGAGCCGAAAUGUUUGUGUGUGUCAGAUCAAUCUUUUCACUGACCAGGACAGCUGUACUCGCAGGGGGAUCACCAAUCAUCCUGCGAGGAACUGCUUCUGUCCUUCAACAGGCAAUUAACGCUUACCAGGACUCUGCACUAGAUUUCCCAAAGGUGACAACUUCACCAUUCAUUCCAAGAUUUAGCGCAAAACAGCAAGAGCCAUUCAAAUGCCCUGCAGUUGCACCAGCAAAGAAGCUCCAUCCAAAACCCUUCAGACUACAAAGAAUGGUCUACAGCACAUGCUUACUCCAAAGACUAUUUGAAUGCAUUUAUGCAAUCCACUAAUGCAGGUCAUUAUCCCUUGUGACAUUAGCAGUAUUGCCAGGUUGAUGUUUAAUAGAAGCUGCCGACUGGUGUUCAAGAUACUAGUUAACAAGACGCUUUCUUUUAAUGACCUGUAUUGAUGAAUGAAUUAAUGGAAUUCCACAACUUCUUUUUGUGUUGAAAGAACCCACAUGACACUCCUGAGCAGCAGAUAAUGUUCUCCAUUAAUGCUUCAGUUUGGGCCAAGAGAUAAAACAAGCUCCAAGUGUGCCCUCUUGUAUGCAAUCUGGAGACAACCAUGGUAAAAUACCGUAGAGGGUCAACAGCUAAUUACUUCUUUGGAGCUCCACUAAUUCACACCAAUUAAAGAUCUAGGUCACUAUGUAAAGUCAAAGUAAAUAGUGGAG